rnacentral:tRNA from 1 species
GAAGGUAUAGCUCGGUGUUAGAGUAUGUGCUUAGCAUGCACAAGGUCCUGAGUUCAGUUCCCAGUAUCUCCA